rnacentral:rRNA from 1 species
UGGGGAAUAUUGGACAAUGGGCGCAAGCCUGAUCCAGCCAUGCCGCGUGAGUGACGAAGGCCUUCGGGUUGUAAAGCUCUUUAGCAGGGGAAAAUCAUGAUGGUACCCUGAAAAUAAGCACCGGCUAACUUCGUGCCAGCAGCCGCGGUAAUACGAAGGGUGCUAGCGUUGUUCGGAAUUACUGGGCGUAAAGCGUAGGUAGGCGGUUUUUCAAGUCAGAGGUGAAAGCCUGGAGCUUAACUCCAGAAUUGCCUUUGAAACUGAAAGGCUAGAGAAUGUUAGAGGCAAGUGGAAUUCCUAGUGUAGGAGUGAAAUCCGUAGAUAUUAGGAGGAACAUCAAUGGCGAAGGCAGCUUGCUGGGACAUUACUGACGCUGAGCUACGAAAGCGUGGGGAGCAAA